GUCUACGGCCAUGCCACCCUGAACGAGCCCGAUCCCGUCUGAUCUCGGAAGCUAAGCAGGGUCGGGCCUGGUUAGUACUUGGAUGGGAGACCACCUGGGAAGACCAGAUGCUGUAGGUG
rnacentral:rRNA from 1 species